rnacentral:rRNA from 1 species
GUACGGGAGGCAGCAGUGGGGAAUCUUCCGCAAUGGACGAAAGUCUGACGGAGCAACGCCGCGUGAGGGACGAAGGCCUUCGGGUUGUAAACCUCUGUCUUCAGGGAAGAAAGAAAUGACGGUACCUGAGGAGGAAGCCCCGGCUAACUACGUGCCAGCAGCCGCGGUAAUACGUAGGGGGCGAGCGUUAUCCGGAAUUAUUGGGCGUAAAGGGCGUGUAGGCGGAUAUUUAAGUCAGAUGUGAAAACCCGGGGCUCAACCCCGAGAAUGCAUCUGAAACUGGGUAUCUUGAGGACAGGAGAGGAAAGUGGAAUUCCUAGUGUAGCGGUGAAAUGCGUAGAUAUUAGGAGGAACACCAGUGGCGAAGGCGACUUUCUGGACUGUAACUGACGCUGAGGCGCGAAAGCGUGGGGAGCAAACAGGAUUAGAUACCCUGGUAGC